UACGAAGGGGGCUAGCGUUGCUCGGAAUGACUGGGCGUAAAGGGCGCGUAGGCGGCUUGAUGUGUCAAAGGUGAAAUCCCUCGGCUCAACUGAGGAACUGCCUUUGAAACUGUCUGGCUUGAGGCCGGGAGAGGGUAGCGGAAUUCCCAGUGUAGCGGUGAAAUGCGUAGAUACUGGGAGGAACACCGGUGGCGAAGGCGGCUACCUGGACCGGUUCUGACGCUGAUGCGCGAAAGCGUGGGUAGCAAACAGG
rnacentral:rRNA from 1 species